GGGAGGUCCUGUUCUGUCAUCUUGGUGACGUCCUCUCCUAUUACUGCAUUUCUUUUAUUUUCAGUGAGAGUGAAUACCUAUUAAACAGCAAAUUGCCGCUUCGGCUGCUAUCCAGCUCCUGAGGAACACUGUUCUGCUUUUGCUUCCUAUGAGUUUGGCUACUCUACAUAUUUUAUAUAUAUUUUCUCAUUUGACCCAAGGCCUAUCGACAAAGAAGUACAUAGAAGCUCUAUUCCAAAAAGGGAUAUUGGGAAGAUUUGCGAGGUGUGGUCUUGAAAAUUUCCAUAUACAGAAAUACUGGGAAAGUGUGAGUGAAUGUGAAGAGCAGAAUGGAUGUUACGAUGGACAGAAAAAAUGUAGGACAACUACCUGUAACAAAAAUACCAUGGAUAGUGGAGGUCAACAGUACAAAACAUUUGGGGACAAAACUCCAUCUAUGUCAAUUACUUUUGCUGAACCCCAUGUUUCUAUAAGUACAUGUCAAGAUCAUGUUUUGGAACAUAACAUUCAUCUGAAAGGACAUUUGGAAAAUCUAAAUAGGGACUUGGUCCAUGUUCCAAAUAAUGACUUGGACCAAGUCAAGUAUAGAAUUGGAUUAAAUGUUCAGUCACAUAUUUCUGGAGAUCUGAGAUUUAAAAAUGAAGGGAGGAUUUCUAAACAUGAUCAAUUUGAUGAGUCCGUUGUUGAAAGUUUAUUAUUCUUCCACCAAAACAUAAUACCUUCACCUACCAAAAUCAAUAAUGUUGACCAGCACGGGAAAGUCUUCCCCCACUCAUCAUUGCUUAAUCAAUAUGAGGAAAUAGAUAACUUGGGGAAUUGUCACACUUAUGAUAAAACUCUGAUGUCCUAGAGCCAGGCCUCUACCGUAAAUGAUUACCAAGAUAUUUAUAUUGAAGACAGAAAUAAUCAAUGCCAUAAAUUUGAGAAAACCAAAGAAGUCUCUGGUUCUAGAACACAUCAGAAAACUCCUUUUCCAGGGAACGAUUACAAAUGUAAAACAUGUAAGAAAGUCUUUUUCCGAUACUCAAAGCUUAUUGUCCAUCAGUGUAUCCAUAUUCAAGAGAAGUCUUACCAGUAUAAUAAAGGUUUAGAAGCUUAUACCCAGCCUUCAAAACAUACUCAGUAUCUGGGAAUCCAUUUUGGAGAAAAUGCAUACAGAUAUAGUAAAUGUGAGAGAUUGUUUAGUCAGUCAUCAAAUCUAAAAAAACAUAAUUUAAUCCAUGCUUAAGAGAAACUCCACAAAUGUAAAGAAUGUGGCAAAGCCUUUUACUAUAGUUCACACCUUACUGAGCACCAGAAAAUUCAUACAGGAGAAAAAUUUUACAAGUGGAAAACGUAGUAAAUCCUUUACUCAUUCCUCAUGUCUUAUAGUGCAUCAGAGUAUUCAUUCUGGAGAAAAGCCAUACAAAUGUGAAAAAUGUGGCUUGUCUUUUCUCUGUUCUUCAACUCUUAGGCGACAUCACAGAAUUCAUACUGCAGAGAAACCAUACAAAUGUAAUGAAUAUGGCAAAACUUUUAACCAGUACUCAAACCUUACUAAACAUAAGAGGAUGCAUACUGGAGAGAAACCCUACAAAUGUGAGGAAUGUGGCAAAACCUUUACCUGUAGGUCAUACCUUACUCAACAUCAGAGAAUUCAUAGUAGAAAGAGUCUACACCUGUGACAAAUGAGGAAAUAAUUUUAUCCAAAACAUACAAGUUAGAAAUCACCAGAAAUAUCAUAGGGAAAGAAAGUUUCCAGAUGCAAUAAACGGAAGGGUUUAAUGAAAGUGCAAAUGUAAUUGUAUUGGGAUUAGCAGAAAGAAAGGCUAAACCAUGGACACUUUCAAAUUGUAUACCAAAACUUUUAUGAUGGAGACUAGUCCAAAUUCAAAGCAAUUAUAUGAUUUAUUCAUUUGAUUCAAAGAGGCAAAAAACUGAUAUUUGCAGAUGUGUAGUCAUUCCAUACUUUGGCAGUAUUGACAGUAUUUGGGUUAUUCGAAAAGCAGUUAUUAUUGACAUAAGUGAACUCUCAGUUCAGUUGAUGCUAUGCCUUAAUUUCUAGUGUUCAUAUGGUAAUAUGUGGUCUUUUUCUGCAUUGGAACCAUUAGACACCAUUCUAUAUUAUGUGGAUAUCAUUAAUAUCAACCUUUCUAUGGAUGUAUAAUUAUAGAUGGAAAACACAUGAAGCAAAUCUAAAGAACAAUGCAGUUUGUGUUUGACUUAUGAAGCAUUCAUGCAUGUAAGCAUAUGGUAUGUGUUCUGAACAUUAUUCUUCUGAAUUACUGAGAGGACCAAUCUAAAUUUUCUAAAUAAAUCAUUUUUCCACUUGUUCCUUAAGUGGAAAAAAUUUGCCUAUUAAUCAAAAUACUGAGAUAUCUUCAUUGUAGAAUGAAGUAGAAGUUUUGAGUGUUACUUGGUGUGACAGAAGACACAGUAAAGUGUUGUAUAUUAUUUCAUGUGGUAGAAAUAUUUAUAUAUUUCCACAGAAGUCAGUGAAAAGUGAUGAUUACUUCCGUCUGAAAUGUUGCAAAUGUAUUUCUAUCCAACAUUCAGUAAAUAGUCAGCGUCACACUUUUUAAAGAAAGAAAUCAGAAGUCUAAGAUUAUGAUAUGAGCAGAAAAAUAAUGCUUCUGGAGUUCUUCCAAGUAUUUGAAGCAGGAGGCCUAUAAUGGAUUUUAAGAUGCUUUUUAAAGACUAUGUUUGACCAUAAUUUGUUUUAGUCAGUGUACCUAAAUGAUUUUCAAUUUUUAAUACUGAUGAGUAAUGAAUUAGUUGUUAUCCAGUCAUCAGUCUUACCCUCCUGUAUCGUCAUAUCUAUGACUAUGGUUAACAUAUGGAAAUAAUUCCA